CGCCCGAGCUUGCUAUGUUAUCGGCGUUGGUUGCUUUGUAAUACAAAGCGGGGGACCCUUUUUCGGUAAUCUAUAGCCCGCUAUAGCCUUUUCAGCAGGGUGGCGCUAAAUGGUUGUCUUUACAAAUAACCCGCUAUAGCUGGUUUGGAGGUCCACCGCUAUUUUCCAUAGCCCGCUAUUUAAAACAUUAUUAAUAUUCCGAUGCUUGGAUAGCGAUGUGUCUUUGUGAAGCUGGGGAUGAAUGAUGGCUCCUUGCUCCAUAGCACUCAACUAAAAGUUUGCAAAAUGAGGUUUAUCGCCGGCUCAUAGGAUAAUUAAAAUCUUGUUAAAAAUCACAUCAAAUGUAAGACCUUUUAAAAAAGAGGAGAAUUAAGAUCUUUGUCAUGAUGAAGAAGCUCUCACUGACGCAGGAAUUUCCUACAUAGUCCUCUGUUAAGCUGUCACCAGGUGCUUAUUAUUUCGACCUUGAUUUAUUCUGACGAACGGAUGAAACAUCGUGUAUACACUGCAGGCAGGCAAAGAAGAGUAGUUUCCCUGUGUAGGGUUGUGUAAAAGCUACAGGGAUGUAUGUGUUCCUCCAAGCACCAACCGAUCAACGUUUGCAAGUGAAGCAGGGGGCUCUCCCACGGCAACGUCGGCGUCCACAGGCGGCUGCAGCUCAUGCACCAAAGUGGUGCGGCGCUCUCGACCUCCAUCGCCGACGCGCACGGCGCCCUCACCGAUGGAACCGUCGCAUCUAGGGCGUGGCAUCCUGAGAGAUGAGACCCAGGAAGGAACGCGCCUCGUCGGAGCAGGAAGGCCUCCCAAUUUGCUGACUCUAUCUGUGUCAUUUUUUCGAUCUGUCAUCAUUCGGGGAAGCAUGGGGUUCUUCGUCGCGCUAAAGGUGUUCGAUGGAAUGUGUCUGUGGCACGGCUCCAUCUUACAGGUGACCUCAGUCAACAAGAGAGAUGGGGAUCAAGGUUUCCCACUGGCUCUGCGCUGAUAAACAAGCAGCUAGUGCAUGAAGCUCAGGAAGAAAUGUGCAGACCAAGGGGCCACAAGUCUAUGGCGAGUGGCGGAGCAAGUAUUUAACAUAUCGAAAGGUUGUGCAUGGGCAAGUCGGCAGCUCGUAUGAUUUCUUUUAUGAUAGAUCUUCUCACAAAUUGCAUUGAUUUUCAUUUUAGGAUGUAAUAAAACACUAGGAUGGUGGCGUUUGUUUAACACUUUCCCCUUAUUAUUGUUGAGCACCAAGUCCAACUCAGCAAUAUGUAAGUGCGCUUUCUUUUAUGCUUUUUUGCAGGAACCCUUUUCUUUUAUGGCUAGACUAUAUAACUUUUCGUUUAUUAAACCGGGGUUCAAUCCCCUUUCAUUAAGAAAAA